rnacentral:rRNA from 1 species
UGGUUAAGUGGGAAACGAUGUGGGAAGGCUUAGACAGCUAGGAGGUUGGCUUAGAAGCAGCCACCCUUUAAAGAAAGCGUAAUAGCUCACUAGUCGAGUCGGCCUGCGCGGAAGAUGUAACGGGGCUCAAACCAUACACCGAAGCUACGGGUAUCACUUAGGUGAUGCGGUAGAGGAGCGUUCUGUAAGCCUGUGAAGGUGAGUUGAGAAGCUUGCUGGAGGUAUCAGAAGUGCGAAUGCUGACAUGAGUAACGA